UACGUAGGGCGCAAGCGUUGUCCGGAAUUAUUGGGCGUAAAGAGCUCGUAGGCGGUUUGUCGCGUCUGCUGUGAAAACCUAAGGCUCAACCUUGGGCUUACAGUGGGUACGGGCAGACUAGAGUGCGGUAGGGGUGACUGGAAUUCCUGGUGUAGCGGUGGAAUGCGCAGAUAUCAGGAGGAACACCGAUGGCGAAGGCAGGUCACUGGGCCGCAACUGACGCUGAGGAGCGAAAGCGUGGGGAGCGAACAGG
rnacentral:rRNA from 1 species